GCGGUCAUGGCCUAGUGGUUAAGGCGAUGGACUGGAAAUCUAUUGGGGUCUCAGCGCACAGGUUCGAAUCCUGUCUACUGUC
rnacentral:tRNA from 1 species